rnacentral:rRNA from 1 species
AGCGUACACGGUGGAUGCCCUGGCAGUCAGAGGCGAUGAAGGACGUGCUAAUCUGCGAUAAGCGUCGGUAAGGUGAUAUGAACCGUUAUAACCGGCGAUUUCCGAAUGGGGAAACCCAGUGUGAUUCGUCACACUAUCAUUAACUGAAUCCAUAGGUUAAUGAGGCGAACCGGGGGAACUGAAACAUCUAAGUACCCCGAGGAAAAGAAAUCAACCGAGAUUCCCCCAGUAGCGGCGAGCGAACGGGGAGGAGCCCAGAGCCUGAAUCAGUGUGUGUGUUAGUGGAAGCGUCUGGAAAGGCGUGCGAUACAGGGUGACAGCCCCGUACACAAAAAUGCACAUGCUGUGAGCUCGAUGAGUAGGGCGGGACACGUGGUAUCCUGUCUGAAUAUGGGGGGACCAUCCUCCAAGGCUAAAUACUCCUGACUGACCGAUAGUGAACCAGUACCGUGAGGGAAAGGCGAAAAGAACCCCGGCGAGGGGAGUGAAAAAGAACCUGAAACCGUGUACGUACAAGCAGUGGGAGCCUCUUUAUGGGGUGACUGCGUACCUUUUGUAUAAUGGGUCAGCGACUUAUAUUCUGUAGCAAGGUUAACCGAAUAGGGGAGCCGAAGGGAAACCGAGUCUUAACUGGGCGUUAAGUUGCAGGGUAUAGACCCGAAACCCGGUGAUCUAGCCAUGGGCAGGUUGAAGGUUGGGUAACACUAACUGGAGGACCGAACCGACUAAUGUUGAAAAAUUAGCGGAUGACUUGUGGCUGGGGGUGAAAGGCCAAUCAAACCGGGAGAUAGCUGGUUCUCCCCGAAAGCUAUUUAGGUAGCGCCUCGUGAAUUCAUCUCCGGGGGUAGAGCACUGUUUCGGCAAGGGGGUCAUCCCGACUUACCAACCCGAUGCAAACUGCGAAUACCGGAGAAUGUUAUCACGGGAGACACACGGCGGGUGCUAACGUCCGUCGUGAAGAGGGAAACAACCCAGACCGCCAGCUAAGGUCCCAAAGUCAUGGUUAAGUGGGAAACGAUGUGGGAAGGCCCAGACAGCCAGGAUGUUGGCUUAGAAGCAGCCAUCAUUUAAAGAAAGCGUAAUAGCUCACUGGUCGAGUCGGCCUGCGCGGAAGAUGUAACGGGGCUAAACCAUGCACCGAAGCUGCGGCAGCGACACUAUGUGUUGUUGGGUAGGGGAGCGUUCUGUAAGCCUGCGAAGGUGUACUGUGAGGUAUGCUGGAGGUAUCAGAAGUGCGAAUGCUGACAUAAGUAACGAUAAAGCGGGUGAAAAGCCCGCUCGCCGGAAGACCAAGGGUUCCUGUCCAACGUUAAUCGGGGCAGGGUGAGUCGACCCCUAAGGCGAGGCCGAAAGGCGUAGUCGAUGGGAAACAGGUUAAUAUUCCUGUACUUGGUGUUACUGCGAAGGGGGGACGGAGAAGGCUAUGUUGGCCGGGCGACGGUUGUCCCGGUUUAAGCGUGUAGGCUGGUUUUCCAGGCAAAUCCGGAAAAUCAAGGCUGAGGCGUGAUGACGAGGCACUACGGUGCUGAAGCAACAAAUGCCCUGCUUCCAGGAAAAGCCUCUAAGCAUCAGGUAACAUCAAAUCGUACCCCAAACCGACACAGGUGGUCAGGUAGAGAAUACCAAGGCGCUUGAGAGAACUCGGGUGAAGGAACUAGGCAAAAUGGUGCCGUAACUUCGGGAGAAGGCACGCUGAUACGUAGGUGAAGUCCCUUGCGGAUGGAGCUGAAAUCAGUCGAAGAUACCAGCUGGCUGCAACUGUUUAUUAAAAACACAGCACUGUGCAAACACGAAAGUGGACGUAUACGGUGUGACGCCUGCCCGGUGCCGGAAGGUUAAUUGAUGGGGUUAGCGGUAACGCGAAGCUCUUGAUCGAAGCCCCGGUAAACGGCGGCCGUAACUAUAACGGUCCUAAGGUAGCGAAAUUCCUUGUCGGGUAAGUUCCGACCUGCACGAAUGGCGUAAUGAUGGCCAGGCUGUCUCCACCCGAGACUCAGUGAAAUUGAACUCGCUGUGAAGAUGCAGUGUACCCGCGGCAAGACGGAAAGACCCCGUGAACCUUUACUAUAGCUUGACACUGAACAUUGAGCCUUGAUGUGUAGGAUAGGUGGGAGGCUU